GGUACCCCUGUAUACAUGCAGUACACUCAGGAGGAGGCCAUUGAUCAUGUUAACAACGACGACAUUUUAAAAUGUUUUAACAUUUAAUUUUGUUUAAAUUCUUCUUUUUUGAACAAAGCUUGGCUAAGGUUAUAAAAAAGAAGUUUUUUAAGAAGUUAUGGGAUUUGACAUUCUAUACAAAGAAGGGUAUGUAUGAUUCACAACCGUAUCCUUUUUUUCGAUCGAUAAAGAGUAAGUAACAUAGAUAAAUAAAUAAACAAAGA